AACCGGAGCUAAUACCGGAUAAUAUUUUGAACCGCAUGGUUCAAAAGUGAAAGACGGUCUUGCUGUCACUUAUAGAUGGAUCCGCGCUGCAUUAGCUAGUUGGUAAGGUAACGGCUUACCAAGGCAACGAUGCAUAGCCGACCUGAGAGGGUGAUCGGCCACACUGGAACUGAGACACGGUCCAGACUCCUACGGGAGGCAGCAGUAGGGAAUCUUCCGCAAUGGGCGAAAGCCUGACGGAGCAACGCCGCGUGAGUGAUGAAGGUCUUCGGAUCGUAAAACUCUGUUAUUAGGGAAGAACAUAUGUGUAAGUAACUGUGCACAUCUUGACGGUACCUAAUCAGAAAGCCACGGCUAACUACGUGCCAGCAGCCGCGGUAAUACGUAGGUGGCAAGCGUUAUCCGGAAUUAUUGGGCGUAAAGCGCGCGUAGGCGGUUUUUUAAGUCUGAUGUGAAAGCCCACGGCUCAACCGUGGAGGGUCAUUGGAAACUGGAAAACUUGAGUGCAGAAGAGGAAAGUGGAAUUCCAUGUGUAGCGGUGAAAUGCGCAGAGAUAUGGAGGAACACCAGUGGCGAAGGCGACUUUCUGGUCUGUAA
rnacentral:rRNA from 1 species